ACCAAUAAUCGAUUAUACUGGCAACACUGAAGGUAUGAUAUGUCAAUGUCAAUUGGUGUGGAGCUGAAGAAUUAACCGAACACUUGUUACAUUAAAAUAAUGGAUUGUUUCUCUGCUGUAUCUCGAUUGAUGAUGGACAGCGUCUUUCGUGACUAUAUAAACCAACAUUUGCGCCUGUAUUUGUGACAGCUGAAGUAGGAAGCCAGCAACUUCUAAAGAUUGUGUGCUUUCGGGCUAGGUCGUAGAUACCAGACGCUGUUUUGAGAACCACAUGAAAUACGUAAUAGAUAUUUCGCCGCUGCACUAAUAACAUAAAGCUGGAAUCUUAUAUUUAUUUGGCGAUUGUGAUAUUAAAACCAAGACACAACCUAAGCCCUCCAACACGUAUAUUCGCAAUUCAACUGAAUAACGUCCUCUUCGUGUUGUGUGACUGCAACCUUGAAAACAAAGUUUGGUUUUGCGAUUAAAAUGUUUCAUAGUCUAGACAAGAAUUGGAGUUUCCAUUGCCAGACACGGCAAGGAAAGGAUAAAACCAUAUAUUUGCAAUUGUCUUCAAUUGCAUUGCGGGCAUUGUAGCCUAAAAAAGCAUAUGCACACUAUGUGGAAACGUGACAUGGAGCAGUGCAGACUUUGUAUAGAGGCAUAAGAGAUGCCCUUGCACAUCCUCACAAAGUGCCCUUGCCUAAUGUGUACUCGGGACUUAAUCAUAGGUGAACACAUAUUGCACCCGGAGGAGUCAAAGUCUCUCAAAUUGUCUAGCGGAACCCCAGGCUCUCAUGAGCCGUGGCGAAAUGCCGAGAUAAUGCGAGUAAGAAGACGAAGAGGAGUCAAAGUGUCUGUAGCUCCUGAUCUGGAGAUCCUGUAGCUGUUUGAAGAAAAAAAAGAAGAAUUGCCUUCAAAUGACAGUUUAUGGCUACCAUAUGUGACGUUUUCAAUUAAAAGGUAUCACAUUGUUGGUUGUCAAUAAGGUAGAUUUCAAAUAGAAACUUUAUGGAAAUAGCGCCUUGUUGAGAACCGACAAUAGUAUCCUAAAGAUUCAAAAUGGCAUAUAUUUGUGUACAUAUAUGUGUGGUUAUUUUAUAUUACACCUCUCACAAUGUAAUAAUUUACACUCAUAUGGAGAUGAGCUUAGCAAUUAAACUCAUAAAAUUAUGUAAAUGGUUUAUUGAUGUCACUAAUCAGUGACAUGCAUUAAAUAUAAAUUACUGUGUAAAUGAAAAUUUAAUUAUAAAUAAAAAAGUAUGUCAUAA